rnacentral:rRNA from 1 species
AUUGGACGCUGGCGGCAGGCCUAACACAUGCAAGUCGAGCGGUAGCACAGAGAGCUUGCUCUCGGGUGACGAGCGGCGGACGGGUGAGUAAUGUCUGGGAAACUGCCUGAUGGAGGGGGAUAACUACUGGAAACGGGUGCUAAUACCGAAUGUGACAGCAAUCUCGCAUGAGGAUGCUGUGAAAGAUGGCCUCUAUUUAUAAGCUAUCGCUAGAGGAUGGGCCUGCGUCUGAUUAGCUAGUUGGUGGGGUAACGGCCUACCAAGGCGAUGAUCAGUAGCCGGUCUGAGAGGAUGAACGGCCACAUUGGGACUGAGACACGGCCCAG